rnacentral:rRNA from 1 species
CGAGGAUCCAAGCGUUAUCCGGAAUCAUUGGGUUUAAAGGUCCGUAGGCGGUUUUAUAAGUCAGUGGUAAAAUCUGGUCGCUCAACGAUCAAACGGCCAUUGAUACUGUAAGACUUGAAUUACUUGGAAGUAACUAGAAUAUGUAGUGUAGCGGUGAAAUGCUUAGAGAUUACAUGGAAUACCAAUUGCGAAGGCAGGUUACUACAAGUAUAUUGACGCUGAUGGACGAAAGCGUGGGGAGCGAACAGGAUUAGAUACCCUGGUAGUCCACGCCGUAAACGAUGGAUACUAGCUGUUUGGAGCAAUCUGAGUGGCUAAGCGAAAGUGAUAAGUAUCCCACCUGGGGAGUACGCUCGCAAGAGUG